GCCGGGCACGAUGGUGCACACCUGUAAUUCCACCUACUCGGGAGGCUGAGACAGGAGGAUCACUUGUGUCCAGGAGUUCUGGGCUGUAAGUGUGCUCUGCCGAUCUGGUGUCCGCACUAAGUUCAGCAUUAAUACGGUGACCUCCUGGGAGCAGGGAACCACCAGGUUGCCUAAGGAGGGGUGAACCGGCCUAAGUCAGAAACCACAUUUGCUUAGAGAAAGUGAGUUAGGCAGUAGUUUCUCAACAGAAACAAUUCUGCUAUGCAUUUUGCCUUGCACAUCCCAGUGGUAGAUGUUCUCCU
rnacentral:sRNA from 1 species